UACGUAGGGUGCAAGCGUUGUCCGGAAUUAUUGGGCGUAAAGAGCUCGUAGGCGGUCUGUCGCGUCUGCUGUGAAAACUCAGGGCUUAACCCUGAGCUUGCAGUGGGUACGGGCAGACUAGAGUGCGGUAGGGGAGACUGGAAUUCCUGGUGUAGCGGUGAAAUGCGCAGAUAUCAGGAGGAACACCGGUGGCGAAGGCGGUUCUCUGGGCCUUACCUGACGCUGAGGAGCGAAAGCGUGGGGAGCGAACAGG
rnacentral:rRNA from 1 species